GAGCUUGCUCUGCUGGAUCAGUGGCGAACGGGUGAGUAACACGUGAGUAACCUGCCCUUGACUCUGGGAUAAGCGUUGGAAACGACGUCUAAUACCGGAUACGAGCUGAGACCGCAUGGUCAUCAGUUGGAAAGAAUUUCGGUCAAGGAUGGACUCGCGGCCUAUCAGCUUGUUGGUGAGGUAAUGGCUCACCAAGGCGACGACGGGUAGCCGGCCUGAGAGGGUGACCGGCCACACUGGGACUGAGACACGGCCCAGACUCCUACGGGAGGCAGCAGUGGGGAAUAUUGCACAAUGGGCGCAAGCCUGAUGCAGCAACGCCGCGUGAGGGAUGACGGCCUUCGGGUUGUAAACCUCUUUUAGUAGGGAAGAAGCGAAAGUGACGGUACCUGCAGAAAAAGCACCGGCUAACUACGUGCCAGCAGCCGCGGUAAUACGUAGGGUGCAAGCGUUGUCCGGAAUUAUUGGGCGUAAAGAGCUCGUAGGCGGUUUGUCGCGUCUGCUGUGAAAACUGGAGGCUCAACCUCCAGCCUGCAGUGGGUACGGGCAGACUAGAGUGCGGUAGGGGAGAUUGGAAUUCCUGGUGUAGCGGUGGAAUGCGCAGAUAUCAGGAGGAACACCGAUGGCGAAGGCAGAUCUCUGGGCCGUAACUGACGCUGAGGAGCGAAAGCGUGGGGAGCGAACAGGAUUAGAUACCCUGGUAGUCCACGCCGUAAACGU
rnacentral:rRNA from 1 species